UAGGGAAUCUUCCACAAUGGACGCAAGUCUGAUGGAGCAACGCCGCGUGAGUGAAGAAGGCUUUCGGGUCGUAAAACUCUGUUAUUGAAGAAGAACGUGCGUGACAGUAACUGGUCAUGCAGUGACGGUAUUCAAUCAGAAAGUCACGGCUAACUACGUGCCAGCAGCCGCGGUAAUACGUAGGUGGCAAGCGUUGUCCGGAUUUAUUGGGCGUAAAGCGAGUGCAGGCGGUCUUUUAAGUCUGAUGUGAAAGCCCUCGGCUUAACCGAAGAAGGGCAUCGGAAACUGGGAGACUUGAGUGCAGAAGAGGAGAGUGGAACUCCAUGUGUAGCGGUGAAAUGCGUAGAUAUAUGGAAGAACACCAGUGGCGAAGGCGGCUCUCUGGUCUGUAACUGACGCUGAGGCUCGAAAGCGUGGGUAGCAAACAGGAUUAGAUAACCUGGUAGUCCACGCCGUAAACGAUGAAUACUAAGUGUUGGAGGGUUUCCGCCCUUCAGUGCUGCAGCUAACGCAUUAAGUAUUCCGCCUGGGGAGUACGACCGCAAGGUUGAAAC
rnacentral:rRNA from 1 species